rnacentral:rRNA from 1 species
AUGGUGGUGCGCGAUGUAGACUUCGCCACACGCCCCAUCAGCCGCAUGCUCCGCCUGUCUAUCCCCGAAGGAACAGAGGGGAUCGCCUUCGCGCCGUACGGCGACAAGUUGCGGCAGAUCCGCAAGAUCUUCACCGUCGAGCUGUUCAGCGCCCGGCGCGUCCAGUCCUUCCGGACCGUGCGAGAGGAGGAGGCCGGCCGCCUGCUCCUGGCGGUGGCAGCAGCGGCAACGGCGUCUGCCUCGGUGAACCUCAGCAAGCGGCUGUCGGCGUACGCCGCCGACUCAUCGGUGCGCGCCAUCAUCGGGAACAGGUUCAAGGACCGGGACACGUUCCUGAUGAUUCUACAGCGCGGGAUCAAGCUGUUCGCCGGGAUGAGCUUGCCGGACCUCUACCCGUCGUCCCGCCUCGCGAUGCUCAUCAGCCGGGUGCCGGGUCAGAUGAAGCGGUACCGAGAAGAACGGGACGCGUUCAUGGACGCCGCCGUCCGCGAGCACCAGGAGAACAGAGCGGCCGACGACGACAAGGAGGGCUUGCUCGACGUGCUCCUGAGGAUCCAGCGGGAGGGCCACCUGCAGUUCCCCAUGUCCAUUGACAACAUCAAGUCGGCCGUCGGGGACUUGUUCGCCGGGGGGAGCGACACGUCGGCAACGACCCUGGAAUGGACCAUGGCCGAGCUCGUGAAGAACCCCAGAGUGAUGGGGAAGGCGCAAGACGAGGUCCGGCGAGCCCUCGCUGGACAACCCAAGGUAAUAGAGGACUCCCUCGGCGGCCUGAACUACAUGCGCCUGGUGUGA